CGGCAAUAGCUCAGAUUUGAAAUCUGGUCCUUUCAGGGCCCGAGUUGUAAUCUGUAGAGGAUGUUUCGGCGUUGGCUCCGGUCUAAGUUCCUUGGAACAGGACGUCACAGAGGGUGAGAAUCCCGUACGUGGCUGGUCUCCUUCGCCAUGUGAAACUCCUUCAAC
rnacentral:rRNA from 1 species